GUACGGGGGGAGCAAGCGUUUGUUCGGGAUUUACUGGGCGUAAAGGGCGCGUAGGCGGUCAGCACAAGUCAGUUGUGAAAUCUCCGGGCUUAACUCGGAAAGGUCAACUGAUACUGUGCGACUAGAGUGCGGAAGGGGCAACUGGAAUUCUCGGUGUAGCGGUGAAAUGCGUAGAUAUCGAGAGGAACACCUGCGGCGAAGGCGGGUUGCUGGGCUGACACUGACGCUGAUGCGCGAAAGCCAGGGGAGCGAACGGG
rnacentral:rRNA from 1 species